rnacentral:tRNA from 1 species
GCUCCGGUGGUGUAGUCCGGUUAAGCAUCUCGCCCUCUCAAGGCGAAGACCACGGGUUCAAAUCCCGUCCGGAGCA